rnacentral:rRNA from 1 species
GGAUUAGAUACCCUGGUAGUCCACGCCCUAAACGAUGAGAACUAGAUGUUGGGAGGAUUUUACCUUUUAGUGUCGUAGCUAACGCGAUAAGUUCUCCGCCUGGGGAGUACGGCCGCAAGGUUAAAACUCAAAUGAAUUGACGGGGGCCCGCACAAGCGGUGGAGCAUGUGGUUUAAUUCGAUGCAACGCGAAGAACCUUACCUGGUUUUGACAUCCUUGGAACCUCGCAGAGAUGUGAGGGUGCCUUUGGGAACCAAGAGGCAGGUGCUGCAUGGCUGUCGUCAGCUCGUGCUG